AACAGCUCUGCUCCAAGAUUCCAAACGGUUUUACGGUACUGUAUGCCUACAAAACGUUAAUAUUUUUUGGAGGCGGUAAUACUCGGAUGAACUGACCUUUAUGGGUGGGUAUUCAACGUUGAAUAAAGUAGGCUUGUAGCCCUCUGCCUAUUGACUUCUAAGGGUUUUAGUAAUAUUUAUCGAAUAUCUCAUCUGAUAUGCAUUUUCACUCACAGUCGUCGAAAUCGAAAAAUCAUAAGCUUAGAAAUCCGCGGACUUGACAUAUUAUAUUUUAUCGACGAUUCGUUUCGACUUGCUGUCAUGUCAGCUAAUCAUCCGUUGCUUCUCCUAUUUUCACAGGUGCAUUACCUGUCAUCUUUACCGUCGAUACCGUUGAAGAUUUUACCGUCGAUCACGGAGCACCCAUUGCGCUGACCGUUGCUGGCACUUUUUUAUUUGUCACUAGCUAUUAGUUAUCUGCAGAUAUACAUUAGCCACCUGUACACCCGCUUACACUAGCUCUCAUCAUCUAGUUCUACGUAUGUGUGUGUUUGUUUUAAUUGUAUUGCCGAUGAAUUCGGUAGACAUGCUCCGCCCGCAAACAUGUACCACAUGAUGCAGUUCAGUGAAUGUAGCAGUUAAUCACUCGUAAAAAGCGGUCAUGUUUUCGUAUAGUGUAGGUAUGCAUCUAUGUAAGCAUGUGUUCACACUCAUGAGCGAUCCACACAUGAUAUUGCAUUUCCUGUUCAGUUAUAUUUUUAGCACUGGAACACGAUGCUCAUACACUGUGUUGUUAUCUUUCUUUUUUCGCCUGCUCCUUCCUCCAACUUGUGUCUUUGAGUAUUUCAGUCACAUGCUCAAACGUUCUUAAAUGCUCUCGCCAUCGGUUUACGGAUGCGUUGAAAACGGACAUGUGAUGACCAAAUUUAACAAUAUGCGGACAAUGGAUCGACUUCUUGAAGCCUGUGGACGUGAUACACCUUCUCCAUCACCAUCAAGAGAUCAACAUUUUCGAAGACACUUGCGUACGGCUGCAGUGUCCGGCGCAAUGCUGAAUGCGACCUGUUAUCUGUUGGAUCUACUCUGUGAGCCCGAACCCCAGUGCAAUGGCACUGUUCGACUAUAGCGCUGGACGUCGUCUACUUUUUGCUAGAGGGAAAGGUCAUCAUCCGUCCAUGAACUUCGGGCUGCUCACAGCUAUAUUGCCUUGGCAAGUUCUUUGAGCACUCAAUACUGGACUUGGGCUGCGAAAGCUAAUGACAAUUUGGGGAGCUUGAUAUUGCAAUGGCUAUGACGUGAAGGCUCAAUAUGACGAACAGCUGGACUAUUCACCAUUGUCAACGCUUAUGAUAGCUAAAUAUCAUUGUGCUUGGUGUACAUUCACGUCUCGUUUCCUUGCUCCAUUUGUACCUCACCGGUCGUCCGUCCCCACAGGCCUCGGCUGCAGCACAAGCCACAUUCAUCGGCCCAAUCAUCAGUUAUUCAUCCUGCAAGUUUUAAGUCACUUCGUUGUGACCCGGACAUCGUCAUCUUUCAACGAGUUCAAAUGAUUAUUUCAUUCAUCAUCGUCGAUCAGACUCAUCAUGUAAAGACACUUCCAUAAUGCUAGCCGCCAUCUACGUUUGUGCAGGAAGCAAAUAUCAGGUUGUUAUUAGCUGCGGGCUACUCAGUACCGACUGAACUACUGGCAGUAGUGUGCGAGCACCUAAUACUUGUAUUGUGAUACCAAAGCUAAAACGGAUGAUAGCUUAGCGCAUAGGGCCCUACCGCUUUCCACACACACACACAAACAAAACUUGACUUUGGGCAUUAGCACCAUGGCAGGAUAAACAGGCAGUUUCGCUGUUUUUCACUGCUUUCAUUGGCAGGUGUUACUGCUCAUUCCCGUUUUAUGUGAUGUUAGAACAGCCCUUCACCAUAGUCCUGUUUUCUCCUUUGCCGUUUUCCAUAGACAUCAGAUGCGACAUGCACUCCAACGAUCGGUCAGGCGCAUCACCGUCAAUCCGGUCGCCUGUUAAGCAGUUCGUAAUCACCGUCAGUCUUCGACAUCUGUCAACACACUUAUCCACAUUAUCGCCUUACUUUUGAUCUUAUCAAUAUGCAAGAAUGAGUGCAAAAUGCAUUCCAAUAUUGCAUCAGUUGAUGUUGUAUCGCAAUGACACCGCGUCCUCACCUCACAUCUGUUGUGCAUACUUGAUCACGAAUGCCAGUUAUACGCAGAUUCACAUGGUGAAGUUUUACUCCGUUGACGUUUUCUUUCCAUUCUUGUAGUCGAUCAAGAGGGAUUACAGUUGCACAUGCGGCCUUACACAUGCGUCCUUACAUGUUAGCUGAUUGAUAUGUUGGACACACUGGUUCCUGUGACUCCAAGUAGUUCUGCAUUGGUAUUGCUUCACUUUAUAUGUUCUACCCAAAGAUCGUUUCUAGUUUUGUCUUAGCUUGCAGCUGUAUGCCAUGAACAUACAGGGUACUGCGCAUCUUUACCGUGACAUUCCUGUAGUUUCGUCACUUUCGCGGAUGAUUAGGACCAUGAGCUCAGUUGCAGAUGCGUCCAGCAGCCACCGACAUUUCUACACUUUAAAUUCCUAGUCUCGGAUCUUAUCCACAUACCAACAUGAUUUGAACAUUUCACACGUUUAGUGAUGAAAUGAGCAGGUAUCAUCUACUACAUUAUAUUUUCAUGUAAAGCACACUCCAGUCUGUGAAAAAAAGAAAACCAUUAGGAGCAACAAUCAUGCCUUAGACAGUAUAGUUGCCAUAGAUAUUACGUUGUGCAGCGGGCAGGCCGGUGCACGAAAUGGCGAGUGUGAAUGCAGGAAUGCGUGUGAAAAACUGCCUAGGUGUGGAGUGGCUGGUUUGUCUUCCGUUACAUCGUAACGGGCUCUUGACGUAGUCUUUUUUUAGUAACACCAAUCAUCUUUCGAACUUGAAUUAACGUAAUUGAAAGAUGGCUAUCACAUUUGGAGCCAACUUAUUUGCUAAUUGCGUCAAGGGCGGGCAGCGCGGUGCGUGGAUGCCUUUUGGUAAAGCUCACGUCCUAAUAUACUAUCCUGCCCUUACCAAGCGUGCAUCCAUGUUUCCUCCAUCCGGCUCCUCGUGCCGCUGCCUGGAAUAUUAGCCUACGGCUAAUAUACCAAGAGAUGGAAAACUUUUCGUUGGUAUGGAAUAUGGAUGCCUCGUGGUUCAACUGGUGAUGUUCAAAACAACUGUACCGUGUGUCAGGUAGGUCUUACUUACUCACUUUCCGCUUCAUUUUUU
rnacentral:lncRNA from 1 species